rnacentral:rRNA from 1 species
UACGGAGGGAGCAAGCGUUACUCGGAAUUACUGGGCGUAAAGGGCGCGUAGGCGAUUUUGUAAGUCUUGUGUGAAAGCCCAAAGCCUAACUUUGGAAGUGCACAAGAUACUGCGAGAAUUGAGUUCCGGAGAGGAAGAUGGAAUUCCCGGUGUAGCGGUGAAAUGCGCAGAUAUCAGGAGGAACACCCGUGGCGAAGGCGGUUCUCUGGGACGGUACUGACGCUGAGACGCGAAAGCGUGGGGAGCGAACAGG